rnacentral:tRNA from 1 species
GGGGCCUAGCUCAGCUGGGAGAGCCCCGCCUUGCACGCAGGAGGUCAGCGGUUCGAUCCCGCUUGGCUCCACCA